GGAAAUGAUGAUUGUUGUUUGACACCCAGUCUUACUUUCAUCUCUUGAUGGAAGAUGGUGAUAGUAUUAAACACUUUUAUCUGAUCC
rnacentral:snoRNA from 1 species